GAAACACGGACCAAGGAGUCUAGCAUGUACGCGAGUCAUUGGGACAUAACUAAACCUAAAGGCGCAAUGAAAGUAAAGGUCCGCCUCGCGCGGACUGAGGGAAGAUGGGCGGUCCGUGUGGCCGCCUCGCACUCCCGGGGCGUCUCGUUCUCAUUGCGAGAAGAGGCGCACCAAGAGCGUACACGCUGGGACCCGAAAGAUGGUGAACUAUGCCUGGUCAGGACGAAGUCAGGGGAAACCCUGAUGGAGGUCCGUAGCGAUUCUGACGUGCAAAUCGAUCGUCGGAACUGGGUAUAGGGGCGAAAGACUAAUCGAACCAUCUAGUAGCUGGUUCCCUCCGAAGUUUCCCUCAGGAUAGCUGGCGCUCGUUGCGCACGAGUCUCAUCCGGUAAAGCGAAUGAUUAGAGGCAUUGGGGUCGAAACGGCCUCAACCUAUUCUCAAACUUUAAAUGGGUGAGAUCUUCGGCUUGCUCGAACUAUUGAAGCCGUAAGAGACGGAUCAGAGUGCCAAGUGGGCCAUUUUUGGUAAGCAGAACUGGCGCUGUGGGAUGAACCAAACGCCGAGUUAAAGCGCCUAAAUCGACGCUUAUGGGAUACCAUGAAAGGCGUUGGUAACUUAAGACAGCAGGACGGUGGCCAUGGAAGUCGGAAUCCG
rnacentral:rRNA from 1 species